CUGGAAACCUAGGGUGAUCGUUAGUUAGAUUCACUACACCUGUAACCUGCCCUCACCGCUCAAGCUUCUUUAAUUGUCGCUGCAGAAGGUUUGCAUGUCCUCCAAGCUUCCCUGUAGCCUAAAGAAUAAAGGUGUUUGCGUAAGUUGGUCUUUUAGUAAUCCGGAGUCAGCUGUGUCCAUUUCAAGCUUGAGCAGGUUACUAAGACCACUGACCUUCCAGCUGGGCAUGUCCAGCGAGUGUUCCCUCGGGGACCUUCAGCCACGAGAGGACCCAACCGCGCCCCCUGCCCCCGCAUGCUAACGCCACCAUUUUCUGCAGGUGCCUCCAGUGAAGCCGCCUUGGCUUGACUGCGCCUGUGCAGAAGGACGAUUGCCUUACCCAUUUCUCUCCAGUCCCCUUCCGUGUGCUCCCCCAGCCUCAGCUUGGUCGCAUCAGAAUCCUGAGCCGCUCCGCUUCCCUUUCUGGAGGCAGAUUUGGGAUAUUCUCCCCUCUGCUGGCAUGGCUACCUCAUGAAUACACAAACCUCGGAGUCUCAUUCUUCUGCCAGUUACCUGUCCAGCAAACAAACCAGGGGCGGAGAUAAGAUGGUGAAGGACAUGAGCUUACCUCCUCUCAUAAAAAUGCCAGAAUCACAGUGAACUGCUGAACAACCACUGGCAAACGCUGGGACCUGCCAAAGAAAGAUGCCCUACAUCCAAAGGCCAAGUGACCACAAAGCGAUGGCAGGAGGGGCGCAAGCACAAUAAAAAUGUUUUCUCGUGUUUCUCCCUUUGCUCUCAGUAUAAUGUUUCUUUUAGAGCAAAAAAGGGGUUUUUGUACUGUUAACCAAU